rnacentral:lncRNA from 1 species
CGAGUACCAGCGAAACGUAGCUUUCUUAUUACAUCAUCAUAUACACGUAAAAACGGGCCUAAUAGGCCAACAUAAUUGUUUAUAAAGUAAAACAUAGGCCGACAAGGCCGUACAAUCUAUUACAUAUACGGCAUAUGUCUACAAGCCUCUAAGAAUACAUAAAUGACAUAAAGGUCGAGACAGUGUCCCGCCACACAAAACAAUACACGUCUAAAUCAUACUAACCAAACGAGCAACUCCGAAGCAAAUGGAGCGCACCAACGUCUUCCGCUGAACUGAUAGCCUACUUGGAGGGCUCUCGACCUGUCUAUCAGGACCUGCGGGCAUGAAACACAGCGUCCCCAGGCAAAAGGAACAUCAGUACGAGCAAUGUACUGAGUAUGUAAGGCACAUAAAUAAGUACAUAGGAGACAUGAAAGAAAUAUAGAGUACAUGACUCAACCUGUUAUUUUGAAUAACUAUAUGUUGAGCUGAUAGCGUGCUUUGGAUGGCUAUCGACCUGUCUAUCGGGACUUGCGGGCAUGAAACGCAACGUCCCUAGGCAAAAGGGAUGUUAGUACGAAUAACGUAUCAAGUAUGUAAGAUAUAUUAACAAAUAUAUAAGAGACAUGGAAGACAUAUAGAGUACAUGACUCAACCUGUAAGUUUGAAUAACUAUGUAAAUCAUAAAUUACUCUUAACAUCAUGCAUAUGCGUAUGAAUUUCAUGUCGUGCAUAGGUACAUGUUUCAUAAUAUCAUCAGCCUCUGAGGACAUCUCAUCAUAUCAUAUCGGCCACUGUGGGCAAAUCAUCAUUGUAUAACAGCUGAUGAGGUGGUAGUAUGUAUAUAAUGCUAAAACCUUUUCCAUAUCUCAUAUACAUAUAUAAACAUACAUAUAUACAUGUAUAUAGCUUCAUUUGAAUCAUAUUUAUAUAUAUAUAUAUACGUGUAUAUAACGCCGUUUGAAUCAUAUUUUAGCCACUGAGGAGAAACAUCAUCAUCAUCAUCAUCAUCAUAUACUGAUGAUCGGGUGGUGGUGCGUAUAUAACGCCGUAAAAUUUUUCCAUAUCCCAUAUACAUAUAUACGCGUAUAUAACACCAUCUGAAUCAUGAGUCAAUGUACAUGUAUAAAUGCAUGGAAUGCAUAUGAAAUAUGACAAUAGAAUCUCUCGGUACGUCAUAAGACCAUUAUACCUCUGAUAAUAUCAUAAAGUCAUUUUAUGUAUUUUUUGAGACACAUGAAAAUACAUAUGGAGAUUCAAGAAUAUAGGCACUUUUAAUACUUUUAUAUAUAAAGUUAUUUAUGGAAGUUGUGCCUUUUCUCGUUUUGCUUGUAUCCUAUAGAUCAUGUCAAAAAGAAAGAAAUGAUAGCCUUAACGUACCUUGAGUAUGAAAAUUACCGUUUAACUGCAGAUAUUAAAGACAUUAUUAUUUGGUAAUUGAAUAAAAGAACCACUUCGCGCUAGGCAAGUAAACACUAAGAAUCCCAGAACUCCUUUGAAACUGAUAUCUAAGGACGUUUGCAUUUGUAUCCACCGUUCUUCAGUAGGCUUGAGUAAAGCAUAAUCCUUGCCCGUGACAUCCACUUGAUCACCAUUUACACCUUUGUAGUAGCAUGAAUUUGAAAUUGUUGCACGUUGAAUAAAGGAAGUAGUGGGCAAAACAUUCUUGUUUUCUUUAUGAAAUUUAGUUUCUCAUUUUCCAAUCUUUAAGAAAGGAAUCCUUUACGUUACUUGUUAUGGAACCUUAAAGAAA